rnacentral:rRNA from 1 species
GGACCGGCACCUCCCGUUGCUCUAGAUUAGAGAACGAUCCUGGCUCGAACGAACGCUGGCGGCAGGCUUAACACAUGCAAGUCAAGGGGGUGUAGCGAUACACAACCGGCGCACGGGUGAGUAACGCGUGGGAACAUGUCCUAAAGUGGGGGAUAGCCGAUGGAAACGUCGGGUAAUACCGCAUAAACCAUGAGUGGGAAAGAUUUAUCGCUCUAGGAGGGUUGCGUUAGAUUAGCUAGUUGGUUAGGUAAAAGCUGACCAAGGCGAUGAUCCGUAGCAAAUAAAGAUAGGACGAUCAGCCAUCUUUGGGACUGAGACACGGCCCAGACUCCCUACGGGAGGCAGCAGUAAGGAAUAUUGGACAAUGGGGGGAACCCUGAUCCAGCCAUGCCGCGUGAGUGAAGAAGGCCUUCGGGUUGUAAAGCUCUUUUAUCAGGGAAGAUGAUGACGGUACCUGAAGAAUAAGCACCGGCUAACUUCGUGCCAGCAGCCCGCGGUAAUACGAAGGGUGCAAGCGUUGUUCGGAAUUACUGGGCGUAAAGGGCCAUGUAGGCAGUUAAAUUCAGUUAGGGGGUG